AUACUUACCUGGCAGAGAAGAUACCAAGAUCACGAGGGUGGUUCUCUCGGAGCGAGUCUUGUCCACUACACUCAGGUCAUUCUGAUCCCAGCGAUUUCCCCAAAUGUGGGAAACUCAACUGAAACUUCUGUUGGUGUGCU
rnacentral:snRNA from 13 species